AUUGAACGCUGGCGGCAGGCCUAACACAUGCAAGUCGAACGAGUGGCGGACGGGUGUGUAAUGUCUGGGAAACUGCCCGAUGGGGGGGGAUAUCUAGGGGAAACAGGAGCUAAUCCCGUAUACCAUCGUAUGCCCCCAUAUGGGUGUGGCUAGUAGGUGAGGUAAGGGCUCACCUAGGCGAAGAUCCCUAGCUGGUCUGAGAGGAUGACCAGCCAAAAUGGGACUGAGACACGGCCCAGACUCCUACGGGAGGCAGCAGUGGGGAAUAUUGCACAAUGGGCGCAAGCCUGAUGCAGCCAUGCCGCGUGUAUGAAGAAGGCCUUAGGGUUGUAAAGUACUUUCAGCGGGGAGGCGUUACUCGCAGAAGAAGCACCGGCUAACUCCGUGCCAGCAGCCGCGGUAAUAC
rnacentral:rRNA from 1 species